rnacentral:ncRNA from 2 species
CCUCGUUCUCAGGGCGGGGUGAAACUCCCCACCGGCGGUAUCGGGGAAACCCCGGAGCCCGCGAGCGCUUCCCGUCAAACGGAAGGUCAGCAGAUCCGGUGCGAUGCCGGAGCCGACGGUUAGAGUCCGGAUGAAAGAGGGCAGGC